UACGGAGGGUGCAAGCGUUACCCGGAAUCACUGGGCGUAAAGGGCGUGUAGGCGGGAUGUUAAGUCUGACUUUAAAGACCAUGGCUCAACCAUGGGAGUGGGCUGGAUACUGGCAUUCUAGACAACUGGAGAGGCGAUUGGAAUUACUGGUGUAGCGGUGGAAUGCGUAGAUACCAGUAGGAACGUCAAUGGCGAAGGCAGGUCGCUGGACAGUUUGUGACGCUGAGGCGCGAAAGUGUGGGGAGCAAACCGG
rnacentral:rRNA from 1 species